rnacentral:rRNA from 1 species
GACGAGCGCUGGCGGCGUGCCUAAUACAUGCAAGUCGAGCGCAGGAAGUCGACGGAACCCUUCGGGGGGAAGUCGACGGAAUGAGCGGCGGACGGGUGAGUAACACGUAAAGAACCUGCCCUCAGGUCUGGGAUAACCACGAGAAAUCGGGGCUAAUACCGGAUGGGUCAUCGGACCGCAUGGUCCGAGGAUGAAAGGCGCUUCGGCGUCGCCUGGGGAUGGCUUUGUGGUGCAUUAGCUAGUUGGUGGGGUAAUGGCCCACCAAGGCGACGAUGCAUAGCGGACAUGAGAGGGUGAUCGGCCACACUGGGACUGAGACACGGCCCAGACUCCUACGGGAGGCAGCAGUAGGGAAUCUUCCACAAUGGACGAAAGUCUGAUGGAGCAACGCCGCGUGAACGAUGAAGGCCUUCGGGUCGUAAAGUUCUGUUGUAAGGGAAGAACAAGUGCCGCAGGCAAUGGCGGCACCUUGACGGUACCUUGCGAGAAAGCCACGGCUAACUACGUGCCAGCCGCCGCUGUAA